UCCGCAAACUCCAACUCAUUUUGACGUUAGUUUAAAUUAUUGAGUCGACUUUGAUAUUUUUAAAUCCUUGUUUAUGAAUUUUGUUACGUCGCAUCAACUUAACCUAAUUUUUUCUUGAUUUACAUUUGCAAUUAUUUAAUCUAAUCAAUUUCAUCUAUAAAAAAUGCAGCACACUAAUUUAACUAUCAGAUAUGAAAAAUCAAAUCCCAUAUCUCUUCCUCAAUGGCAAACAACCAGAUUCAGAAGCAAGGAAAAAACAUCAAAAUUUCGAAGAUUACGUGAUGUUGUACACGACUAUAUGCAAUAUGUGUACUCAAAAGGCUCCUAAUGACUAUUCUCAGAUCGCUGAGUUUAUUUUAUUUAUAAUUUGAUUUUUGGUUAUUUGUGAUCUGAUGAGUUAUGUGUUGUUAUCUAAUUUGCUACUAUUUCUUAUAUUGAAUAUUGAUUUCCGCAAAUUGAAUCCAUUCAUUUUGAUUGUUGUAUUCAUCUCAAAAAAACGCAAGGUUGAGAGCGAGAGUGAACUGAGUGAGAAUAGAAUAGAAUCACGCAUCAAAUCCAUAACUUGAAUCUUCUCAAUCCUUGGCAGCAACUUGAAUUUGUUGGCAUGUAUGCCUUUCUCAUGAUGAAUAAGUUUGGCUCGGGUUGGCAGCGGAGGAAGUUUUUAGAGGUGUUGAUACCCUUUAACUCAAAGCAUUUUACAUGUGCAUUCUUAGCUUUGGUCUAUUGAAUAAAAAAAACCUCUGGUAUGUAUUUAGCAUUUUAGCUAGCAUGCAUAUGAAUAUCUUCAAUUUAUUCCUUAUUUAGCAAAUCCUUGGGAGGAAGAGAACUUCCUUGCAGCAGCUGCAGCAGUAGAAAAUGCUCAACAGGUCUGUGAAGCUUUCUUGCUAUAUUUUAAAGGCAAAUCCUUGGGAGGAAGAGAAUUUCCUUGCAGCAGUAGAAAAUAUAGUUGAAAUGCCAUCUGCCUAGAACUCAAUUUGGUGUAAAUGGAUUCAGUUAUAAACAAUUUUAUCAAUGCAAGAAGCAGCAGAAGGAUUUCUUUUUUUCUUUUUUUUGGUCAAGUAGCCUAGUGCUAGAGCUCACACAAUUUAAUUAUGGAGAAGUGGAGUGUCCGGGGUUCGAACCCCGGCUCCUGCAUAUAAUAUGCAAUAUCCCUACCAACUGAGGUAAGCUCACGGGGAUGCAGCAGAAGGAUUUCUUAAUUUAAAAUGUUUGCAACUCACUUAUUUUCUCCAUUCAUUCAUGUUUUUUACCAAUGUUUUUUUGUUGUUUUUUGUUCUGUUUAUGGAAUUCUUCUCUAUUUAUGCA